GAAAGCACCUCAACUGGUUCGGUUCCGGGCCGCCGUGGAAAACGGGUCCGUCGGCGCCUGUGCUUGGUCUAGGGCGGCCACUACCCCCAAUACGCACAGCAAACGAAUCAAAAUGGUCUAGGGCCGCUGGUCCGACGCGAAUUGGUCUCAUUAGGGCAGGCGGGGCGGGGCGGGGUAGCGAGGGGACCUCAUAAGGUUGCCCUCGCCGCCGCCGCUCUCCGUGCCGGGGCUGGAAGGGGCGUCGGCGGCCGGCGGCGAAGGCCUCCCCCUCUGCUACGGCGACGCCGCCGGCUCCUGCUCCGCGCCGCGCCGCGGGGAAGUGCGGGGAGUCGGUCCAGGUGCGGCUGGAGCGGCGCGCAGGAGGUCCUCGUCCUCUUCGGGAUUACUACGACGCCUACUUGCUUCGGCGGCCGCCACUCCCGACGCUAAUACCCUCUCCUCCUCGACCUCGUGGUGGAGGCGCAGGUGGUGGUCCUCGUGGGCCCACCGCAGCUGCCACUACCCCUGCCACUAUAGCUCCGACUCCCACUCCCGUUCACGAUCCUACUUCCGCUCCUGCUCGAGAGGACUCAUGCUCCUCCUCCCCAAGCUACUACUACUCCUCCACCUCCUACACCUCGGUCUCGAUCUGGGACGUCUCAUGCUCCUACUGCUCCGAAUGCGAGCUCACGAAGUCCUGCGGCUCCUCGCACUCCCGCCCGCCACCUCGUACAGCUCCUAGUGUAUUUACUGUGCGUCGAGUGGUGUAGUCGUAAGAAUUUUUUUAGCACACUUGGAUGAGAGAUUUUUGGCUUCUCCGGGCAACUAUAAAUACAUUGGCUUCUCACCUUCAGGCUGUCCUCGUGUGCGGCCCGGCCUAGGGUAAUGAAGAGGCGAAGUCAAGGUACCGAGGUGGUGAAGGAAAGGGUGUCGGGCAGCGAAGCACGUAGAAGAGGUUAUAGGUUCGAGGUACCGACGUUGUUGGUCACGCAGUUCGGAUGGGACGGUGGCGGGGCAGGUACACGUGGCAAAAGUGGACACCGGCCGGGCGGAGCGGCGGCUCUCGUUUGGCGGUCUAUCGGACACGAGAUCGAAGGAGUCCCGGGAGGAGCGGUAGCGUGUACCGCGUCGAGACCACAACCAGGAAGUGACCUCGCGACUACAAGAGGUUGUUUAAGAUGUAGGUGCCCUCGGUUAUCAGAUUACCGUUCCUCCUACCUGCUCCCGAGAGUUAGACUAAGAUUAGACGCUACAGUUGUUCUAAUUUAGUCGAAAUGCUUCUCUCUAAUGGAGAUUUGUUGUGUCUUUGAUUUUACGUCCCUUUGAUUAAUUUCCUCCUUCUGUGAGGUUAUCCACGAGGACAGAUCUCAAACCUUGGUAACCGACUUACUAUGAUGCCCGGAGACUUUUUGAUAAAUUCUAACCAAAAGUGAAAGUGUAAAAACUACAAUGACGUACGGUAACCCUCGUUUAAGGUCAAUGUUCACGGACGUCGUUCAUCCCAUAACAAAAAAUAAUCAUCCGCCUAUACACAAAUGAGAUAACUCCGCCUCGUAUCCUCUGAUAGGUAAAACGAUGGCCUUAGAGCCAUACAGAAACGAGAGAAAAAGAUAAAAAAGAAAGAAGGCUAAUUGACGUUAAGUGCAGUUACUUUGUACGGUAGAAUGACAAGUGUAAGAUAUAAGACCCAACACUAUAACUACCCAAGAGAAAGAAAGCGUUAUGAUGUGCUCUUAUCGUAUAAAUUCAAGUCUAUACGUGUACCGUCUUUGUAAACGAAAAAUCAAAAGACGUCAUUAAUGACACUACUUUGUACGGUAAAAUAAGAGAAUACAAACUCAGGUUUAGUUAACACUUGUACGAUGAAAGUAUGAAUAGUACAUGGCACGAUCUUCCUAGGUUGGGUUAACAAAAAAAAUGAGUACAUUUUACCUUCUCUUUUAUAAAAAAACCACCAAAACUAGUGGACCCUCCAAAUGAGAUCCCACUUUUCCGAGGUAAAGAAAAAAGACUCGGUUCAUAGUAUAUUUAAACGAUGGAUGUACAAGUCAGCUUAUGACUUUUCUUAUUUAAAUACCUAAUGAGGCUGGACUUUUGGAAUUUAGAACGUUCUUUAGAUGUAGUGUCUAGUGUGGCUUUAGAACUAUCUCAACGUUUGACGGUAAAAGAAUCCAGUUGGAAAAGGACAAGAUCGAUAUUACAAGGUACAUAUAUGUGAUCCACUUUAAUCCGUAAAUACGAUAACUGUUGUUCUGUAUAAAUUGAUGUAGAAUUCUAAAGUCUGGGCAGCAUUGAAGUGAACGUGGGUUGUGGUACAUAGUAUAUAUAUCAAUAUAUGAGUAUCUUUACUCAUAUGGUGAUCUGGUACAGUUUGUGUUUACGAAACAAUUUAAAGUAAAAGACAUAAAUAGUAAAAACAUACGUCUUCCUCAGUACAGCUAAUCUUAUGUUAGGUCGUAUACGAGAACGACUCGUAAACCUUAGUAACCGAAUUACUUGAUGACAGGAGGGUUAUUGAUAAAUACUAACCUAAUCUCGAAAAUAUUUAAAAUAUAAUGACGAAGACCUCGUUUAAGAGUAAAUAUUUAAAGGUUUUUUCCUCAACAAAAAUUACCAUCUGUCCCACAGAGAAGUGAGAGGACUCCUACUCGUAGACUCUAAUAGGACAACCCUAAUAGCUGGCCUUAGAACCAUACACAAACGAGCGAAGAAGAUAUCCUAAGGAAAUCUACUUGGCUGUCACGUGUUGUUACAUAUCUUGUCUAAGGUUAAUAGUUAAUAUAGGGGGACAAAGAUAUAGAUUAAUUAUUAUAAGAAAAACGGUCCAAUAAGAGAAGGAUUUAUCGCGAUGUUUAAGGGCGUCGUUGCGCGCCCCGUAGUAGAUCAAAGCAAUUACACACACUGUAUGUCACAUCAUGAACGAAUAAAGUAACUUCGUCACUGUAUUAACGAACCAUCUCGAUUAAAUAAGAGACUAUAUAAUACGAUUUUCACCAUUUAAAUGGAGGACGGUACAAAAGAGGCCCCUAACACCGUACGUGGAGGCCAAGCAGAUUAAAUACGUGCCUCUUGAAACAGAAACAAGUUUAACACCAUGACACAAAAACGAAUGAAUAACUUUGGUCGGUUUAAACUGACUCAUUGGAUGUAAAUGUUUAGCCGUACAAUAACUUUUUUGUGUCCCAAGUACCGUUCUCUAACUAGGUCUACUCAUGAGUAUGCUCCUUAAUCAACGUAACCCGCCUCACCAAUCAUGUCUUUCAUCUCCAGAGAGACGACUAUGUGAACGAAGGAAUGGAAGUCAUUGAAUGUUGUGUUUUCUGUACGUUCUGCCGUUGUGUCUUGUUACACAUUAAACAGUGCACCCUAACCUCCUUCCACUUAGGAACCAACGUGAAGGGAUGUUCGUAAGUAUUAGUAUGGUGGGACUGACGUAAUUGGUCAGUUUAUUUAUUCUCUCCAUUAAGUUCAGUCGAUACUACAGACUUCCCUAACACAAAGGAACUAUCUCCGGUGUUCAUCAAGUCGGUCGUUGCUUCAACUUAAACUCCAAAGGAGCACGUUCCCAUACACGUUCCCAUAAUUAGACUGUAGGUGUUCCUUUUACAUAAUUAGAACACGUUUCCAUAGUUAUACUGAACACAUUCCUUUUAGAUAAUUAGACACACAACAAAGGAACGAUGUAAUGAAUUCAACAUAUAUAGCACGGAGGUACGGUCUCAGGAUGGUCAUCUAACAUAGAACAACUAGGGUAUAACCGUCUCCUAAUACACGUGUGAUCGCAUCACGGGCACGCAAACGAUAACUUGGCGUUUUUGGCUAACGUCAACAUAAACUAAUCAUGAGGGAGGCGAGGAUUUAUAUUCAGAAACAUCUCUAAGGUGAUACCUGAUGCAUACUUCGUUUUACUCACUUAGAUGUGAGAUUUUACGUAGAUAUAUGUAGGCAUACACCAGGUAUCAUCUUAGAGAUUCUGAAUAUAAAUCCUUGCCUCCCUCAUCAUAUGUUGUCGGUUACGUGAACAACGAACUGUAGUAUUUUUCGUUAUGUGGUAUUGGUAUUUUCGUGAUUCUUGUGGUUCAUAGUUGGUUACCGUGCACAGUACCGACCUAAGACUUUAAACUUUCAAUCCUACUGCCCGUAUCCCUCCUCCCCACCGGCCCUCUGCCCCUAACCCCUCGUCCCCAACGGCCCUUUUUUUUAGUAGCUGUUUAACUGACCAACCAAACACAACCGUAACAAUUUUUUUUAGAAGGCUAAGCCGCUAAUUAGAAGGCUAAAUAGCAGAUAGAGUUCACCACCACUAGCUGAGGUGCUUAUCGGACUUGGACUCUUUACAUCUAGACGUUUGCCCUUGAAGGACAACAGAACUUAGUCCAGACGACGAGGUCGAGGGGAGAAAACAACGAAAGCCGAUUCGUAGAAAGCCGCCGCCUUUCUUCCGCUGAUCAACGAAGAUCGCUUCGUCGCUCAAGUACCCGUUCACUUACUUACUCGUCGCUCACUUCACGUUGUCACCAUACGCGUUACACAUCGCGUCUUCAAAGAUGGAGUUGUUUGUUCGUCCGUACUGGUUGUCAACCGUGAAGUUCAAUCCUUUUCCUUCAACAACCGUGAACCCUCAUACGUCAUCGCCGUAGUAAUAUAAUAGGGACUACAAAUUUGAUCUCAUCGUUUUUGAACAUGUUUGAACGCUUCCCUGCUUGAACAUGUUUAAUAGAUUACGAAAUCCGGCACCAGCCUGAGGGGGGCGAGACACGACCUCGCCUCACCGAACGAUCCAUAUUAGACGUCUCGACGAUUUUCCCGCGAAGCAGCCGAAGCGAGGCGCCUCUCGUCGGCUUGUCCACGAAUCAGAAGUCAGCGUCUUUAUAUAACCCUUUAUAAACUAAUAAUCAAUACCGUCUUUGAAAGAAACUUUUCAAAUUACUAAUAAGUAAUUACGUGUUUUUAUAUAACCCUUUAUAAACUAACUAUAUACAUAAUCUUACACUUAUUAACCAUUUUUUAAUUAUAACCGAACAUAUAAACCGACAUUUACUUGUGAUUAAUUAUAAAAAUAAACCGA
rnacentral:rRNA from 1 species